rnacentral:lncRNA from 1 species
AAAAACCAAAAAAAAAAAAAAAAAAAAAAAAAUCAACCAGGCCAAAAAGAAGCAAGGAAAGGAGCUUUGUUUUUUGUUGUUCUUAUUAUUUAUUUGUAUUUAUUGUGUAUGUGUGUGUACCACAUGCACACAAAUACAUCAGAUCCUCUGGAACUGAAAGACCCACAAUGUGAGGACUCCCCCACGUUCUGACUCAGGAGAGGCAACACCCCAAAUCACUCAUAAGAAAUGGUCUUGAUGCAAACCGCAAGAGAACUUUUAUUCCAAGAGCACUCUGGGGCCCACAGUCUUACACCACACAGGGGUAAAGGACCUUGUGGGCAGAGUAGCUAGGUAACAGGGUAAAGGAAGAAACCACAACUCAAGGGUUUGGGGAGGGUGUUGUUGGAAAAUACCAAAAAUACCAGUUAAGAGUCACGAAGAAGUGGGAAGUCACAAGAAAAAUACCUGAUAGUUGUGUGGUUAUUUCUCAAGACAGUUUCUAGGAGCCUCUAACAAUAGCACUUUUGCAUAGUGGGUUCCAGCAAUGGUCAGGGUGACUUUCUUUGAACGAACACUCCCUGAACCCAGGAAGCAGGUAGGUGGAAGAAUAUCGCUAUCUGUUUUAUGAUUAGGAUGCCUUGGAGCAUUGAGUCACAAAGGUCACAUUCUCAAGCCUGGGCCUAAAGUCCUCGUUUUGUUUGUUUGUUUUUAUGUUAUUUUUUCAGAACUAUAAUUAGCUGCCUGGUGUGGAUGCUGAGGAUAAAAUGUGUUAGGUGCUCUUACCCACUGAGCCAUCUCUUCGGCCCUUCCGAACCCCACCCCACCCCUUUUUUUUCUUUUCUGGUAUUUGGUUUGGUUUUGAGACAGUGUCUCUGAGUAACCCUACAGAGAUCCUGCUGUUUUUGCUUCCCAAGUGAGGGGACUGACGGUGUACACCACCAUACCUUCCUGCCUAUUCUUUCUUGUUAGAAAGAUAUAUGUAUUUGUGUGUCUGUGUGUGGGCACAUGCUCAUGCUGGUGCCUGCGGAGGGAUUUCCUGAAACUAGGCUAUUGUGAACCACCUUAAGGGAACUGCUAAGCCAUCUUUCCAACCCCAAGAGAGGAAAUUUUCUUUGGAAAACAACAGAAAUUAAAGCUUUGAGAUCACAGGGGAAAAAGGACUGUACCCCACUGUCAGUAAGAAAGAAAAAUGAAACUUUUGGAAGCUGUAUAAAAAUUAUGAAAUGAAAUUAUCUUUAGCAUCUUGUUAACCAAAAAGCAUAACUUUGGUGUGCAAUAUUAUAAAUCCAAAUACCACUCUUCUGUCUUGAAGUGAUUUUCUAUCUAAUGUUGUCUUAGAGUUUCUGGUGGAGAAUGUUAGGCAGAAAUUACUCAUGUCUCCAGACCAGGGGAAAUAAUUGCACAUUAGGUGGUUUUAUAGAAACCUAUUCCCCUCCAUCACAAAGAAAAACAAUCAAGAUGCAUGGCUAUGAUGCAUGAGGAAUAUCAAUAAACUGUCAAGUAACUGUUGAUUCAACCAUAACUCCAUUAAUUUUAAGUUGAACCUAUACAACCUACAAUUGUGCCACCUAAUUUAAGAAACAAACCCCUGAGCUAUACUGUUAACUCCCAGAGUCCACUUUAUUCUUUCUUCCUUCCAAAGGUGCUCUUUGUUGUUUUUGGUUUUGUUUUUAAAAGGCAUUUUAAAGGUUUUGUGGUUUGUUUUGAGUACUGGAAAUUGAACUCAGGGUCUUGACCAUGUAAGGCAACCUCUUUACAACUAAACUACAUCCUCAGCUCUGUGAAUAUUCUAUAAAUAAAAUAAUCUGUAAAUAAAAUAUAUAUUCAU